rnacentral:rRNA from 1 species
CCUACGGGAGGCAGCAGUGGGGGAUAUUGCACAAUGGAGGGAACCCUGAUGCAGCGACGCCGCGUGGGUGAAGAAGCGCCUCGGCGCGUAAAGCCCUGUCAGCAGGGAAGAAAAUGACGGUACCUGAAGAAGACGCCCCGGCUAACUCCGUGCCAGCCGCCGCGGUAAUACGUAGGGGGCAAGCGUUAUCCGGAUUUACUGGGUGUAAAGGGGGCGCAGACGGCGUUGCAAGCCAGGAGGGAAAGCCCGGGGGCCAACCCCGGGACUGCUCUUGAAACUGCGUGGCUUGAGUGCAGGAGGGGCAGGCGGAAUUCGUGGUGUAGCGGUGAAAUGCGUAGAUAUCACGAGGAACACCGGUGGCGAAGGCGGCCUGCUGGACUGCAACUGACGUUGAGGCCCGAAAGCGUGGGUAGCAAACAGGAUUAGAUACCCGGGUAGUC